rfam:Picea glauca, whole genome shotgun sequence.
AGGCAAAGGAUGAGAUAUACUCAAAUUCCCCUUCAACACAUUAUGGAUGAUGCCAUUCGAGCUUCUGAGGCU